rnacentral:rRNA from 1 species
CUAGCUUGCUAGUAGACGUCGAGUGGCGGACGGGUGAGUAACGCGUAGGAAUCUGCCUGAUAGUGGGGGAUAGCCCGAAGAAAUUCGGAUUAAUACCGCAUAAUCUAUUCGUAGUAAAGUGGGGGACUUUCGAGCCUCACGCUAUCAGAUGAGCCUGCGUAAGAUUAGCUUGUUGGUAGGGUAAAAGCCUACCAAGGCAACGAUCUUUAGCUGGUCUGAGAGGAUGAUCAGCCACAUCGGGACUGAGACACGGCCCGAACUCCUACGGGAGGCAGCAGUGGGGAAUAUUGGACAAUGGGGGCAACCCUGAUCCAGCAAUACCGCGUGUGUGAAGAAGGCCUGAGGGUUGUAAAGCACUUUCAAUUGUGAAGAAAAGUUAACGGUUAAUAACCGUUGACCUUGACGUUAACUUUAGAAGAAGCACCGGCUAACUCCGUG